rnacentral:rRNA from 1 species
UACGUAGGGGGCAAGCGUUGUCCGGAAUUAUUGGGCGUAAAGAGCGUGUAGGCGGUCCGGUAAGUCAGCUGUGAAAGUCAAGGGCUCAACCCUUGAAAGCCGGUUGAUACUGUCGGGCUAGAGUCCGGAAGAGGCGAGUGGAAUUCCCGGUGUAGCGGUGAAAUGCGCAGAUAUCGGGAGGAACACCGGAGGUGAAGACGGGUUGCUGGGCUGACACUGACGCUGAGGCGCGAAAGCCAGGGGAGCAAACGGG